UAGGGAAUCUUCGGCAAUGGGGGGAACCCUGACCGAGCAACGCCGCGUGAGUGAAGAAGGUUUUCGGAUCGUAAAGCUCUGUUGUUAAGGAAGAACGAGUGUGAGAAUGGAAAGUUCAUACUGUGACGGUACUUAACCAGAAAGGGACGGCUAACUACGUGCCAGCAGCCGCGGUAAUACGUAGGUCCCGAGCGUUUUCCGGAUUUAUUGGGCGUAAAGCGAGCGCAGGCGGUUAGAUAAGUCUGAAGUUAAAGGCAGUGGCUCAACCAUUGUAGGCUUUGGAAACUGUUUAACUUGAGUGCAGAAGGGGAGAGUGGAAUUCCAUGUGUAGCGGUGAAAUGCGUAGAUAUAUGGAGAAACACCGGUGGCGAAAGCGACUCUCUGGUCUGUAACUGACGCUGAGGCUCGAAAGCGUGGGGAGCGAACAGG
rnacentral:rRNA from 1 species